AGGACGAACGCUGGCGGCGUGCCUAACACAUGCAAGUGGAGCGACGAACCAGGCUUCGGCCUGGGGCAAAGCCGCGAACGGGUGAGUAACACGUGGGUAACCUGCCCUGAUGAUUGGGACAACCCGAGGAAACUCGGGCUAAUACCAAAUGUGCCCUCUGGCCGUAAGGCCUGUGGGGAAAGGAAGCUUCGGCCUCCGCAUCGGGAUGGGCCCGCGGCCCAUUAGCUUGUUGGUGAGGUAACGGCUCACCAAGGCUACGAUGGGUAGCUGGUCUGAGAGGACGAUCAGCCACACUGGGACUGAGACACGGCCCAGACUCCUACGGGAGGCAGCAGUGGGGAAUCUUGCGCAAUGCGCGAAAGCGUGACGCAGCAACGCCGCGUGGGGGAAGACGGCCUUCGGGUUGUAAACCCCUUUCAAGCAGGGACGAUAAUGACGGUACCUGCAGAAGAAGCUCCGGCCAACUACGUGCCAGCAGCCGCGGU
rnacentral:rRNA from 1 species